GAUGAACGCUAGCGGCAGGCUUAACACAUGCAAGUCGAGGGGUAUAGUUCUUCGGAACUAGAGACCGGCGCACGGGUGCGUAACGCGUAUGCAAUCUACCUUUUACAGGGGGAUAGCCCAGAGAAAUUUGGAUUAAUACCCCAUAGUAUGUUAGAGUGGCAUCAUUUUAACAUUAAAGUUCCAACGGUAAAAGAUGAGCAUGCGUCCCAUUAGCUAGAUGGUAAGGUAACGGCUUACCAUGGCGACGAUGGGUAGGGGUCCUGAGAGGGAGAUCCCCCACACUGGUACUGAGACACGGACCAGACUCCGACGGGAGGCAGCAGUGAGGAAUAUUGGACAAUGGGCGCAAGCCUGAUCCAGCCAUGCCGCGUGCAGGAAGACGGUCCUAUGGAUUGUAAACUGCUUUUGUACAGGAAGAAACACUCCCUCGUGAGGGAGCUUGACGGUACUGUAAGAAUAAGGAUCGGCUAACUCCGUGCCAGCCGCCGCAGUAACAC
rnacentral:rRNA from 1 species